CUGGCGGCGUGCCUAAUACAUGCAAGUCGAACGCACUCUCGUUUAGAUUGAAGGAGCUUGCUCCUGAUUGAUAAACAUUGAGUGAGUGGCGGACGGGUGAGUAACACGUGGGUAACCUGCCCUAAAGUGGGGGAUAACAUUUGGAAACAGAUGCUAAUACCGCAUAAAACCUAACACCGCAUGGUGUAGGGUUGAAAGAUGGUUUCGGCUAUCACUUUAGGAUGGACCCGCGGUGCAUUAGUUAGUUGGUGAGGUAAAGGCUCACCAAGACCGUGAUGCAUAGCCGACCUGAGAGGGUAAUCGGCCACACUGGGACUGAGACACGGCCCAGACUCCUACGGGAGGCAGCAGUAGGGAAUCUUCCACAAUGGACGAAAGUCUGAUGGAGCAACGCCGCGUGAGUGAAGAAGGUUUUCGGAUCGUAAAACUCUGUUGUUGGAGAAGAAUGUAUCUGAUAGUAACUGAUCAGGUAGUGACGGUAUCCAACCAGAAAGCCACGGCUAACUACGUG
rnacentral:rRNA from 1 species